rnacentral:lncRNA from 1 species
AUUUUCCUUUGAUAGUCUCCAUUGUGGAUGUUUAAACCUGAUUGUUGGAAGACCAAAUUGAAAAAAAAGUGGUACAGAAUGGUAGACAUUUGAUAUGAUUUAUGUUGUUCCAGUGUGAGAAAAACAAAAUUUGCAGUGCUUGGAUAUUUAGACAUGCAAAUAGUUACUUGACAAACACUUAAUAUAUUGCAUUUAUAUUAAGUAGAUCCUUAGGAAAACCAAUGUUAAUAUUUAGUCAUAGAUAUAUUCAACAUACCUUUUGCACAUUGUACCCAGAUUGAAUAAGAGAACCUGACUAUAGGUAUCUUAUGUGUUAGACAUACCUAAGCAUUUAGUUGUGCCCUACAAAAAAUAUCUUGUACAUCUACUUUCCCUUUCUUGAAAAUGAUCUGAUUCAUAUGACACCAUAUCAUCCAAACCAUUGUUAUCUACACUUCCUUCCAUAUUUUUUUUAUCAUUUAGUUCAAAUAGAUGAAAAUGAUGAAAGUGCUGCAUUAACUCCUUUUGAUGUAUUGAAUGAAUCCCAACCAAAGCAUCACACAUAUACCAGGCGAUGUAUGAUUUUUUACAACCUAACAAGAGGUGUGAUAGUUGCCUCUUCAAGAAGACAUAAUACACAAGUACUAUUAGUUAACCUUACCCCCCUAUGUAAUAACUGUACUUUAGUUGGGUGUCAUGCUACAUGUUGAGCAGUAGGAGACACCUUUGUAAUCCAAAAAUGUAGAGUAACCGCUUACUCAUUGUGUUGCAAAAUUUUAUUGUUAAGACAUUUGUUUUCUUUUUCUAUAUAUUAACCAUUGCGUCAGUAUACUUAGUCGAUGCUUAUUGUUAUGUCAAUCAAUAUUCAUACCUAUUUCUAGGUUGUACCACGCCUAUUUUCUUAGUUUACAUAAUUGUUCCCCAUAUCCUAGUUGAAUUAGAAUAUGCUCC